rnacentral:rRNA from 1 species
AUGCCAGGAAGGAGUAGAAAGAAGGUGAAGGCUACCUUGAUCGAUGUAUGUGAUGAUCAAACAAAUGAUGCUCCUACAAUUGUCACCCCAACAAAUCCCAGGAGAAUGUUCACAACCAUUCCACCAAGCUUGGAAAAUAGUCCUAGGCCAGUCAUGAGAAGAUGGUCAAUCUUCGACGCAUACAACCUCUCCAAGGAAAAUAACUCCCAAGAGAACUACUACAUCAACUCUCAAAAAGAUAAUCCCAAGAGGGAGCGCCCAGAGCGUGACACGUGCGGGCGGCUGAGAGCGCGCCAAGUGACGCUGGUUGUUGUGAGGCUCCCGAAGGAGCGCUCGUCAACUAGUUUCGAGGUCUGUUGCUUGGGCCUUAUUUCCUUGAGCUCAACCCAUCCCCCGGGCCCAAACCUCUGCGUCCAACCUUCUUUCGCACCCGUGCAGUCUGCGACGCGCGGUUGUGGGGUGGCGCAGGCGUGCCGCCGCCGCGGCCAGGAAGCCGCGUCCGGCGCCCCCGAACUGCCGCCCUCGUCUGUUUGCACCGUGUCCCUUGUCUCACCUCCCUACGCGGCCACUAAACGCCGUAGCCACGAAGUUCCGUCGCCUCCGCUCGGAGACCGCUUCCGGAAGAUAGGCAGAGAUUUGUCAUUGCGGGGGCUUCGCCACGCCCCCCGGGUGCAGGACAACUGGUCUAUUUGGAGAUUCGUCGACCACAUCGCUGGAAUUUUCUCCAUCUUUACCAACUCCGGUCGCCAUCAGAAUUAUGUGAUUUGUGAUGUUCCUACCAACCCGGAGUUUAAGUUAUAUGAACUCGCCCCCAAGACCUUGUUGGCCGAAAACAUUGCUGACCAUAGGCGAGGAAGGUCGCAAGUUUUCGCCACACCAUUUAUCUCCACUUCUAUAGAGGGCCACUUGCCCCCUCGCCUUGGCUCGAAGAGCGCCUUACCGCAGAAGACCCUAGUUCCUAAGGUGGUGCCUCCAAUAAGGAGUUGCACUUGCUGGAAUGACACCAAAGAGCAUCGCUGUCGCCCGACACUGGUAGUGCGGCAAGAUUUUCACUUUGGUACCAUGACCACCAUUAAUGAAAUUGCACAGGCCCAAGUGACCCACAUAUGUCAUCUCACCGCCCUCAUGAUCAAGAUAGCUGACCAACACCACACAUUGUGGCACCCGCCGCUCAGGGCUGCUGGCCCGACUUCCAAGAAUUCCUACCUUCACCGCCUCCCAGUGGACUAUGGGCCACCUACGCAUAGUCGGCCAUCACAGCUAUCGCGCCAACACUCCCUCAAAAUAUCCUACCUGCACCAUCCACUCGCCGUGCCAACACCGACAAACAACAACCAUGACAAUCACGUGGUUGCCCCUACAAUGACGGGCCGACACACAGUAGAUAUGCAUUCCUAUGCCGACAAGGAAAACUGGGAACUCGCGGAUGGAAUGUCCAUGACCUGCAAACCGAGCAUGUCUGGGUCAUGGUAUCUGCUGCGGGCACCGGACAACCAGCCAAGGAGGCUUACUGGCUAUGGCCCCCACUCCCAAAAUCCAUCCGACGGAGUCGAAGACACACGUCCUCUCUCAAUCCCAUCAUGUGAUCCAUGUGAAUUAGUUGUUGGGCUCUGCAACUACAUCAUGUCGAUCGGUGAUGCUGGGUGUUUGGAGAAGGAAUGGGUGCGAAGUUCGACACCCCAUCCAAUGGGCUUAAGUGUGAGAAAACUUCAGGGCAUACCUAACAUAGAGCAGUCUAUGGGCAAUGAUUGUUUCAACAUGGCCGUGUGUAUACUGGCAUGCGAUGAGGUCUUAUUGUCCAUAGUCCAUCCUAUACACUUCAUGGAUAUACAAUUUUGUUCCAUGAUGUUAGGAUUCAACACGAGAUAUGAAGUUUCACGUGAAGCCAAAUAUCCAGAUGCUGGGAACACUGUUUGA